GCGAACGCUGGCGGCGUGCCUAACACAUGCAAGUCGAGCGCGGGCAUUUCGGGGGUAACCCCGGGAUGUGCUGAGCGGCGGACGAGUGAGUAAUACGUGGACAACCUGCCUUAAAGCUUGGGAUAACUCCGGGAAACUGGAGCUAAUACCGGAUAAGACCACGGUGUCUAUGGAUGCUGAGGUAAAAGGCGGCCAGGAAACUGGCUGUUGCUUAAAGAUGGGUCCACGUCCCANCAGGUAGUUGGUGAGGUAAAGGCUCACCAAGCCAAAGACGGGUAGCUGGCCUUAGCGGGUGGUCAGCC
rnacentral:rRNA from 1 species